GCAAGUCGAGCGGAAACGAUCCUAGCUUGCCAGGAGGCGUCGAGCGGCGGACGGGUGAGUAACGCGUGAGAAUCUGCCCAUUUGUGGGGGAUAACUUGGGGAAACCCAAGCUAAUACCGCAUAAUCCCUACGGGGGAAAGCAGGGGACCUUCGGGCCUUGUGCAGAUGGAUGAGCUCGCGUCGGAUUAGCUUGUUGGUGAGGUAAAGGCUCACCAAGGCGACGAUCCGUAGCUGGUCUGAGAGGAUGAUCAGCCACACCGGGACUGAGACACGGCCCGGACUCCUACGGGAGGCAGCAGUGGGGAAUCUUGGACAAUGGGGGCAACCCUGAUCCAGCCAUGCCGCGUGUGUGAAGAAGGCCCUAGGGUUGUAAAGCACUUUCAGUAGGGAGGAAGGCUUGGGCUU
rnacentral:rRNA from 1 species